rnacentral:rRNA from 1 species
CAGUAGCCACGGUAACACGGAGGGUGCAAGCGUUAAUCGGAAUUACUGGGCGUAAAGCGUGCGUAGGCGGUUCGUUAAGUCUGUUGUGAAAUCUUCAGGCUCAACUUGAAGUCUGCAUGGGAAACUGCGGGGCUGGAGUAUGGGAGAGGUGAGUGGAAUUCCUGGUGUAGCGGUGAAAUGCGUAGAUAUCAGGAGGAACACCUGUGGCGAAAGCGGCUCACUGGACCAUAACUGACGCUGAGGCACGAAAGCUAGGGGAGCAAACAGGAUUAGAUACCCCAGUAGUCCCUGUCUCUUAUAC